rnacentral:rRNA from 1 species
AACGAACGCUGGCGGCAUGCCUAACACAUGCAAGUCGAACGAGACCUUCGGGUCUAGUGGCGCACGGGUGCGUAACGCGUGGGAAUCUGCCCCUUGGUUCGGAAUAACAGCGAGAAAUUGCUGCUAAUACCGGAUAAUGACGUAAGUCCAAAGAUUUAUCGCCAAGGGAUGAGCCCGCGUAGGAUUAGCUAGUUGGUGUGGUAAAGGCGCACCAAAGGCGACGAUCCUUAGCUGGUCUGAGAGGAUGAUCAGCCACACUGGGACUGAGACACGGCCCAGACUCCUACGGGAGGCAGCAGUGGGGAAUAUUGGACAAUGGGCGAAAGCCUGAUCCAGCAAUGCCGCGUGAGUGAUGAAGGCCUUAGGGUUGUAAAGCUC